UACGUAGGUGGCAAGCGUUGUUCGGAAUUACUGGGCGUAAAGCGCACGUAGGCGGCUUGGUAUGUCGGGUGUGAAAUCCCCGGGCUCAACCUGGGAACUGCAUCCGAAACUGCCUUGCUAGAGUAUGGGAGAGGGAAGUGGAAUUUCCGGUGUAGCGGUGAAAUGCGUAGAUAUCGGAAGGAACAUCAGUGGCGAAGGCGACUUCCUGGACCAAUACUGACGCUCAGGUGCGAAAGCGUGGGGAGCAAACAGG
rnacentral:rRNA from 1 species